rnacentral:lncRNA from 1 species
AUCAUUUGCUUGAUUAGAUAAGAAUAACCCCUCGAAUAUGGGAUAUGGACGAGUAUGGUUUUCUAACCUUAGCAUGCUCGUAUUUCCUUUAUAAAAGGAAAAAUCUAGUCAUGAAUGUUAGUGCCCCGCACCCAUUAUGAUACAUUCCCUUAAGUCAUGUAUAUUUGGAUAUUAUUUUUUUUUUCUUUUCCUUCGAAUCUCAUAUUUUUGCAUAUUCGUGACCUCUUCAAAGAGUCAACUUGGACAUCACAAUUAAUGUAAUUUACACCAAUUAAAUUUUGAAGAGAUAUUCCGACUCCCCC